GGAGAGAUGGCUCAGUGGUUAAGAGCACUGACUGCUCUUGCAGAGGACCUGGGUUCAAUUCCCAGUCACCCA
rnacentral:tRNA from 1 species